rnacentral:rRNA from 1 species
UACGUAGGUGGCAAGCGUUGUCCGGAUUUACUGGGCGUAAAGGGCUCGUAGGCGGCCAACUAAGUCGGACGUGAAAUCCCCAGGCUCAACCUGGGAACUGCGUCCGAUACUGGAUGGCUUGAAUCCGGGAGAGGGAUGCAGAAUUCCAGGUGUAGCGGUGAAAUGCGUAGAUAUCGAGAGGAACACCUGCGGCGAAGGCGGGUAGCUGGGCCGACACUGACGCUGAUGCGCGAAAGCCAGGGGAGCGAACGGG